rnacentral:lncRNA from 1 species
CGGCGAGGUGGGGCCGAAGGCGGGAGCUGCGUGGGGCCCGGCCCAGGUGGGCGAGAGCGCGUCGAGGGCCCUGAGCGGCGCGGCUUUCCUUCCCUUCCCCUCGGACGCGGAGGCCCUUCCCGCACCGCGGCGAGGCUACAACAGGUACAGUUACCUUUGACUGCAAGUACAUCCCUCCCAACACGCAGCUUAUCUAAAAUAACAGGAUCCCUAAGCAGAGCGAUACUUCCAGUGACUGGACAGAGGUCUUCACAGUUUUACUGACUGCUUUGCCACAGCAUACCAUCUCAAAGGCAUGUUCUAUGCAUUCUUUUUUUCCUGUACACUUGUAAAACACUUAGUUUGACUUACAUGUGGAGUCACUCAGGCAAAUAAAAAGCAAAAAUAUCACCUUAACCCUUCACAUUAUGUGAAUUUUGUCUUUGCAGUUCCAAUUCUAUAUCUUUCUGUGUAGCUGUAGUCCUCACCAACUGUGGGAAAUCUCUGGUCUAGUUCACUCAACCUGCUGGAAGAAAUAUAGCUGCAUGCCUUUGUGUUCCCCAAUCUAUGUAUAAUCUGUCCCUGAGGAUUUUUUGGCAGGCUGCCUGUGUAGGUCUUCUACAGACAUGCGCUUUAUAAUACAUUAAAGAACUUCAUCAAGCUUCAAAUUGCUAGUUAAAAUUGGGCCUAUGAGUUCCACCCCACCCCAUGGACACACAUACUGCCUCUGCAGCCAUGUAUUGCCCUCCUUGAUUGCUGCUGCUACCUCAGAGGCAAAGACAUGAACUAUUUGUGAUCUGCUUGGCACUGCUGCUGUUUUCAGCUGGGUAUGCAAAAGUAAACCAAACCUUUUCAUGAGCAGAUCAUGAGUUCCUGUUUCAGAGGCAGUGUGCUAGGACUGGAG